AUGGCACGCUGCAUGCUCAAGGCAAAGCAGGUGCCGAGCACGUAUUGGGGGGAGGCCGUGCUCACGGCUGUCUUCAUCCUCAACCACUCCUUCACAAGGAGCAUCGAUGGCAAGACGCCUUAUGAGGCGUGGUAUGGGAGGAAGCCUGAUGUACGCUUCCUCCGCACCUUUGGCUACAUCGGGCAUGUCAAGACGGCGCGCCCACAGCUGAAGAAGCUCGACGACAGGAGCACCCCGAUGGUGUUCAUGGGCUACGAGACGGGCUCUAAGGCGUACAAGAUGUACGACCCCAUCUCAAAGUGUGUGCAUGUCUCGCGCGACUUCAUCUUCGACGAAGAUGCGCGAUGGACUUGGGAGACGUCGGGGGAGUCCCCGGCAGGCAGCUCCUUCACCGUAGAGUACCCGAUGUACUCUACAACCUCGGGAAGCAAGACCUCAGGAAUUGCCACGCCAGGAAGCCCGGGAGGUGUGGAUCUGGGAACCGCAACCCCGAGAACACCGUCCCCGGGUACGGUGUCCCCGGACACCCCGAUGUCAAGCAAGGUGGGUCCCAGGAGGCAGUUCGCGACCCCGCCAACGGCGAGGUCGGAGCUGUUCGACGCUGACGACAGCGUUGGCGCCCCCCACAGGUUUCGGCGCAUGGGGGAUCUCCUCGGCAAGGAUGCGGUAACACCGCAACAGCCCGAGGAAGAGGACAUUGAUGACGACGACGUCUUGCAUCUGAUGGCCGGCGAGGAGCCAACCACAUUCGCGGAGGCCGAGCAAGAGGAUUGCUGGCGCCAUGCGAUGCUGGACGAGCUGGCGUCGAUCAACAACAACGCCACUUGGACACUCACCACACUGCCUGCUGGGCACCGAGCCAUCGGGCUCAAGUGGGUGUUCAAAGUCAAGAAGGACGAGCACGGCGCCAUUGUCAAGCACAAGGCGCGCCUCGUCGCAAAGGGCUACGUGCAGCGUGAGGGAGUGGACUUCGAGGAAGUCUUCGCUCCGGUGGCAAGGCUGGAGUCCGUGCGGCUCAUCCUUGCGGUGGCUGCUCACCGCGGGUGGGAGGUACACCACAUGGACGUCAAGUCGGCAUUUCUCAAUGGCGACCUUAAUGAGGAGGUGUACGUCUCCCAACCACCCGGAUUCGUUGCCAAAGGCCACGAGCAGGGAGUGUAUCGACUACACAAGGCCCUGUACGGUCUCCGGCAAGCCCCAAGGGCAUGGAACGCCAAGCUCGAUGCAAGCCUCGCAUCUCUUGGGUUCUCACGCAGCGCUUCUGAGCACGGCGUGUACUCGCAUGGCACCGCGAACAUGCUGCUCAUCGUCGGCAUCUACGUCGAUGACCUGGUCAUCGCCGGAGCAGAGCCCGAGAGGUUCAAUGCUUCAAGGGAGAGAUGCAUCGUCUCUUCAGCAUGA
rnacentral:rRNA from 1 species